rnacentral:rRNA from 1 species
AACGAACGCUGGCGGCAUGCCUAACACAUGCAAGUCGAACGAGACCUUCGGGUCUUGUGGCGCACGGGUGCGUAACGCGUGGGAACCUGCCCUUAGGUUCGGAAUAACUCCCCGAAAGGGGUGCUAAUACCGGAUCAUGUCUUCGGACCAAAGAUUUAUCGCCUUUGGUUGGGCCCGCGUUGGAUUAGCUAGUUGGUAGGGUAAAAGCCUACCAAGGCGACGAUCCAUAGCUGGUCUGAGAGGAUGAUCAGCCACACUGGGACUGAGACACGGCCCAGACUCCUACGGGAGGCAGCAGUGGGGAAUAGUGGACAAUGGGCGAAAGCCUGAUCCAGCAAUGCCGCGAGAGUGAUGAAGGCCGUAGGGUUGUAAAGCUCUUUUACCCGGGAUGAUAAUGACAGUACCGGGAGAAUAAGCUCCGGCUAACUCCGUG